GACGAACGCUGGCGGCGUGCUUAACACAUGCAAGUCGAACGGAAAGGUCCUGCUUUUGUGGGGUGCUCGAAUGGCGACCGGGUGAGUAACCCGUGAGUAACCUGCCCUUGACUUUGGGAUAACUUCAUGAAACUGGGGCUAAUACCGGAUAGGAUCUCCUGCUGCAUGGUGGGGGUUGGAAAGUUUCGGCGGUUGGGGAUGGACGCGCGGCUUAUCAGCUUGUUGGUGGGGUAGUGGCUUACCAGGGCUUGGACGGGUAGCCGGCCUGAGAGGGUAACCGGACACACUGCGACGGAGAUACGGCCCAGACCAAUAUGGUAGGCAGGGGAGGGGAAGAUUGCACAGUGGACGGGAGGCAGAUGUAGCAAAGCCGCGUGGGGGAAAAGAGGCAGGGGGUUGGAAACCGAAAUUGUUUGUGACGAAGCGUGAGUGACGGUAAUGGGUAAAGAAGCACCGGCUAACUACGUG
rnacentral:rRNA from 1 species